UACGUAGGGUGCGAGCGUUGUCCGGAAUUAUUGGGCGUAAAGGGCUCGUAGGCGGUUUGUCGCGUCGGGAGUGAAAACCAGGUGCUUAACACCUGGCUUGCUUUCGAUACGGGCAGACUAGAGGUAUGCAGGGGAGAACGGAAUUCCUGGUGUAGCGGUGGAAUGCGCAGAUAUCAGGAGGAACACCGGUGGCGAAGGCGGGUCUCUGGGCAGUAACUGACGCUGAGGAGCGAAAGCGUGGGGAGCGAACAGG
rnacentral:rRNA from 1 species